rnacentral:lncRNA from 1 species
GUUCGAACUGAAGUUCGGUCAGUCCUUAUCUAAUCGGAAACACCACUGUUUUAUAGGUCUUUUCAGGAGCAGUUGCCUAGAAAGGAUUUACGAAGGAUUUUCCAGAAUUACGAGUCAGCUCGAGCAGCGAUGACAACGAUCCUAUAUUCGAAAGCCAAGGUGAAUGCAACGCACUCUAGCAACGCAUCGGCACGCGUAUUUUAUGCGUGACGUAGGAUCGCACUGAAUGGACAGCCGCGGCGGAAAGGAUGCGGUUAACCUCGCUAGUUUCGUGUUUCCUACGAAGGUGAAACGUUGAUGCACACACGAGUGAUAUUUGCCUCAGAAAUCGUAACGCGAGGUGAAUUAAAGUCGCUCGUGAAACAUCAUUACCAUUUAUACUAUGGAAGAUUUAAAAUUGAAAAUAGCCCUCCGAACAUGAAGAUGACUCACGAUCUUAAUAUCGUUCCAUGAAAACUCACAUAAAUUGGAUCGUAAAGCAACUUUACUCGAAGAUCAUUCGUUUUAAGCUAAUAGAAGCGAGUUCUUCUUCCCUUGUAACGAGCUACGCAAUAGAAAAUACAUUACUUUGAUGAACGAUUAGUUCUUUUUUUAUAUGCGAGACACCGCAAAUAUUUCAUCAGAGUCAAUGAUUGAAACUUUUUUCUCAUUUAAGGGAGAAAAAAAACGAUCUGUACGAGCGAGC